AUACGUAGGUGACAAGCGUUAUCCGGAUUUACUGGGCGUAAAGGGCGUGUAGGCGGUCUUGCAAGUCAGAAGUGAAAUUCCUGAGCUCAACUCGGGCGCUGCUUCUGAAACUGCAGGACUUGAGUGCUGGAGGGGAUAGCGGAAUUCCUAGUGGAGCGGUAAAAUGCGCAGAUAUUAGGAAGAACACCGGUGGCGAAGGCGGCUAUCUGGACAGUAACUGACGCUGAGGCGCGAAAGCGUGGGGAGCAAACAGGUUUAGAUACCCUGGUAGUCCGCACAGUAAACGAUGUGCACCAGGUGGCGGGGGGUCGACCCCCGGUACCGUAGCUAACGCAUUAAGUGCACCGCCUGGGGAGUAUGCUCGCAAGGGUGAAACUCAAAGGAAUUGACGGGG
rnacentral:rRNA from 1 species